GCAACUCGCCUGCAUGAAGUCGGAAUUGCUAGUAAUCGCAGAUCAGCAUGCUGCGGUGAAUACGUUCCCGGGCCUUGUACACACCGCCCGUCACACCAUGGGAGUCGGGAAUGCCCGAAGUCAGUGACCCAACCGGAAGGAGGGAGCUGCCGAAGGCAGGCUCGAUAACUGGGGUGAAGUCGUAACAAGGUAAC
rnacentral:rRNA from 1 species